AACGCACGAGACCUGCGGACCUGCGGAGGGAUCAUUAUUGAAAGUUUUGGGGGUACUGUUGCUGGUCUUUAACAAGGCAUGUGCACGUACUUCUAAUCUAUUCAUCCACCUGUGCAUUUUUUGUAGGAGUUCUUUCAGGUUGGCUUGCAAGGUCCUUUGGACAUUGCAAUGGCUAGCAUGUGAGGCUUCUAUGUCUUUACAAACCAGUUAAGUAUGUUUAGAAUGUGUUGUAUUGGGACU
rnacentral:misc_RNA from 1 species